AUUGAACGCUGGCGGCAGGCCUAACACAUGCAAGUCGAGCGAGCGGCGGACGGGUGAGUAAUGUCUGGGAAACUGCCUGAUGGAGGGGGAUAACUACUGGAAACGGUAGCUGAUACCGCAUACCAUCAGAUGUGCCCAGAUGGGAGUAGAUAGUAGGUGGGGUAACGGCUCACCUAGGCGACGAUCCCUAGCUGGUCUGAGAGGAUGACCAGCCACACUGGAACUAAGACACGCUCCAGACUCCUACGCGAGGCAGCAGUGGGGAAUAUUGCCCAAUGGGCGCAAGCCUGAUGCGGCCGUGCCGCGUGUGUGCAGAAGGCCUUCGGGUUGUAAAGCACUUUCAGCGGGGAGACGUUACCCGCAGAAGAAGCACCGGCUAACUCCGUGCCAGCAGCCGCGGUAAUUC
rnacentral:rRNA from 1 species